CCUACGGGGGGCAGCAGUGGGGAAUAUUGGACAAUGGGGGCAACCCUGAUCCAGCCAUGCCGCGUGUGUGAAGAAGGCCCUCGGGUUGUAAAGCACUUUCAGUGAGGAAGAACGCCUGGUGGUUAAUACCCAUCAGGAAAGACAUCACUCACAGAAGAAGCACCGGCUAACUCCGUGCCAGCAGCCGCGGUAAUACGGAGGGUGCGAGCAUUAAUCGGAAUUACUGGGCGUAAAGCGCGCGUAGGUGGCUUGAUAAGCCGGUUGUGAAAGCCCCGGGCUCAACCUGGGAACGGCAUCCGGAACUGUCAAGCUAGAGUGCAGGAGAGGAAGGUAGAAUUCCCGGUGUAGCGGUGAAAUGCGUAGAGAUCGGGAGGAAUACCAGUGGCGAAGGCGGCCUUCUGGACUGACACUGACACUGAGGUGCGAAAGCGUGGGUAGCAAACAGGAUUAGAUACCCCAGUAGUC
rnacentral:rRNA from 1 species